AUACACUUAUGUGCAGCAUAAGUGACUUUAUGGUACAAUGAAAUAUUGUAACUUUUAAUUGUAAGUCUUUUGAUAUAUGUUCGUAAAUUUUAGAAAUAUGUAGAAAAUAGUUUUGUACAGUACAUAGGUGUAUUAUAAUCUGACAUGAAACUUUUAGGAAUUUUGUAAUUGAUAUAGGGGCGCUUCUUUAAGCACAUGUUUCAAUAUGCAGCCUCUUUUUCAAAUAGCUGCUGAAGGCAGAAGGUACAGAAAUUUGGUGACACUCAAUUUCAUAAAAUGUUUUAAUCUAGGCAUGCUUUUAAACACACUUAUACUAGGUCAUUCCAUUUGCCAUCGGCUUCACAACUACCUGAAAUCAGGAAAUGAUCAUAAGACACCAAUUAGACUUCAAUUUGGCAAAAACUACAACUGUGGAGUGGCAUGGCGUAGAAGGAAGAACUAUUCAACUUAAUAAACCCGAAUGUGUUAUUCUCCUAGCUGGUGGUAACGAUGUUGCAGAGGACACGUCUGUUGAGGAAUUGGCAUAUAAACUGAUAAGUUUCUGUUCGCUCCUGACAAAUACGUAUGGCGUUUGACGAGUAGUAACAUGUGCCCUCAUGCCACGCUUCCCACAGGAUAAUUUCAGAUUUAAGAAAUGUGGAUACAAUUGGGACAAUACAAGUGUCCGAGAUAGGGCAUACAAGAAUAUGUAUUUCAAAAAGGCACACGAAAUAGAUAAAAUGAUAAAAAAACGAGGUUGAAAAAUCAUCGAAAUUUAUCUUUUGGGAUCAUAACAAAAGAUUUUCCUUCGAGUCACCACAAACAAAAAUUCAUGCAAAGAUAAAUUUAUUACCGAUGGAGUACAUCUAAAUAUGAAAGGUCAAUACCACUUAUACAAGUCAAUACGAGGAGCAGUUAUCAAUGCCUGCAAAGAGAUUAAAUUAGAAAACAGAAAUUUCACACGUAUCUGAACCAUACUCGUAAAUUUUGUAAUCUUUGGAAAACUUCCGGUGGAUAAUCGCAACAGGAUGACAAUCAAAACUUUGAUGCAUAAUCAUGGUUCAAGUAGUAGUUACUAUAAAUAAAUACUAGUUAACAACAAAAUUUACAUAUCAAUCCCCUAUGUACAGUUUUUCGAUUGAUAUCAUAUUACAUAUCACAUUAUCAUCAUACUUGACUUUUAUACUAAUGUAUGCCAUGUAUAUGUUUGAACUUUUGUUUAUGCUUUUCUAUGAUGAGGGCCUCAGGGAAGAUUAGUUAUAUAGCUAACUGUGUAACCCUCUUAAAAUAAAGUAUUGUUGUUGCUAAAACUAAAUAUUUGGUCACCGAAAGGUAAAUUAUUACGGCGGAAACUUGCAAUAUUUCAGAUAAUAACAGACACAAACAAACAUAUUUAAUGAUUGAGGAUCGUCCAGAUUAAAAUUAUUCAAACAAGGUUAACAUGAAUAAUCAAACUUAAAUCCAAAGAAAAAUAAAUAGACAAAUUCAAUAAAAAUAAAAUAGUCCUAAUAAAAAAAAUUAAAAAAAAUUAUAAUGAUUAAAAUAUUGAAAGUAUUGUAUUAAGUUUGCAUUAGUAUAUUUCAGACAAUGCCUCCAAAAAGAAAAUCCUCAUAUGGAGUGGCAGGUGCCAUUAAAAAAAUGAAGAAUGCCGUCCAGAGGAAGAAAAUAUCCACAGCUAACCCAAGUAGGCCUUACACCCCACCUAAUAAUACAGCAGUUAUGUCUCCAGAUGACAUGGAGGACCUGACCAACAGGGUCACAGAAAGGGUCGCCAGCUGCAUGGAAAGGAGGAUGGAGGAAAUAUUCAAUAAGAUUACUUCCCAAGGAAAUACUUGCAAUUCAGGAGUUCAGGAGGCUGAGAUCCAACAUCAUGUUGACUCUCUGAACAGAAACAUUCAAGGGCUUGUGGGUCACAGCUCGUUACAUAUCGCAUACAGAAUAACAGUUCAUGUUUAUAUGGAAACGGUGGACAAAUGGAAAAAGAUGAAUUAUGACGCUCAUUUAAGCUGAUACAAGGACAACCUAAAACCCGAAAUUCAUCCGUUUACCAUUGAAUUGACCAAAUUUUACUGAGAAGAAAUUGGCAGAAACCAGCUUGCUAGGACUGGAAUCUUAAAAUCUCCCAUUUGCGUUUAGUAAUAUUAAGCAGUAAACUAAUAACAAUAUAUAAGGAAAUACAGUUAUUUGACGAGGAAAAUAGAGUAAAGCAGUAUGUUUCUAGGAAACUUAGAUGCAAGUUUAGGUAAUAACCUCAAUGAAUUUGAAAGUCAUUUACUGAAGUCUCAGGAAUUAAUGUUGGGUCGCGGAAAGAGAAGUCGUCCUGUACCUGUGAUAAUUCCAACAGAUGUAAAAAGCACUCUAGAUUACUUGUCUGAUUCAGACAUUAGAGAAAAAGCAGGUUAUGGGAUGCAAAAUGGCUUUUCCCUCAAAAUAAUUAUUCGAAAAGACUUCCAAACUUUCAUAAAUUUUGUGUAAAAUGACGUUGGGCAUGCAUGGAUACCAUAAACAAGCUCCGUUGGAAAAUGGUCAUGAUACUAUUUGACUUCAAUUUCUAAAACAGAAUAAUAAAGUACUAAUACCACACAUAA